AGUGAACGUUGGCGGCGUGGAUUAGGCAUGCAAGUCGAGCGAUCGUAGCAAUACGGGAGCGGCAAACGGGGUAGGAAUACAUCGGAACGUACCUUUUGGUUGAGAAUAGCGUUGGGAAACUGACGGUAAUACUCAAUAAAGUCGAGAGACCAAAGGUUUACUGCCGGAAGAGCGGCCGAUGCGAUAUUAGGUAGUUGGUGGGGUAAUGGCCUACCAAGCCUGAGAUGUCCUAGGGGGUGUGAGAGCAUGGCCCCACCACUGGGACUGAGAUACUGCCCAGACACCUACGGGUGGCUGCAGUCGAGGAUCUUCGUCAAUGGGCGAAAGCCUGAACGAGCGACGCCGCGUGCGGGAUGAAGGCCCUUGGGUUGUAAAACCGCUGUCAGGGGGGAUGAAACCGUAAGGUGACAGAGCCCCAGAGGAAG
rnacentral:rRNA from 1 species